UAUUUGUAGUAGGCAUUGAAUGAAUGUCUGUUCUCCCCGGUACUGGGCAAACAACAGCUCAGUAAACACUUGGCAGCUUCAGGUCAGUUCUGAAGAGCAUGUGUUAAAGGGGGUGGUGGCAUCAAGUGACCAGCCCCACCCUCCACCGCUGGCCACACCUUCCAUAGUGACCACACUGAGAAAACACUUAGAUGGACUGAUGGGUGUGAAUCCCUUGAGAGCAAGGCUGUAUCUUCUCUCUUGCACUUGCCAGCAUCUGGCACAGCUGGGUAUUAACCACACAAGACACAACUCCAGAGGCGGUGGCCCUGGAUGUCUGAAAUCCUGUCCAGAACAUUGAGAGAAAGCCAAAGAAGGAAAGCUGCCCUCAAACAUGCCCAGGAUCUUGCUGGAGAUGGAAACUAACAAGGAUGGAAACAUGACAGCAGAAAAAUACAGACCAGUUUGAAGUCUGCCCACCUGGGAGUCAAGCCACAUUGAAAUUCAAUAAGGCAUCAAGGCCGGGAGCUCGGAGAGCCGACUGGAUACCUGCGUGGGCCUCCUUUAAAGAGGGGAAAGCUUUGAAGUUGCAGACGACCAAUAAAAAUACAGCUGGCAUUUACAGCUUCAACUCCUCCUGCUUUUGCUUUUCACCGUGUUGCUAAAGCUGCCUACAAAGCUGCUCCAGGCGGGACUCUUGGCCCAGGUCGACAGAGCCCAUUCCCAUUCCAUGGACAAGAACAGGGGCUCUUGGUGUCCUCUGGCCAGGGAUUGGUGAUCAACUUUAGGCACGCUGGCAAUUUCCCAGAACAACCCCGUCUUAGGUUCUGAACAUCAGAGGCAGUGGCUAAGGUCCCCCAAAGCACUUUGGAAUGAGCCCAGGAAGUUGACCUUUGAAGCACUCUCCUGCUCUUGGGGCCAUGUCAUCAGGAAGAAACUCCAGGCUGAAAACACAACUGCAAGGCCAACAGGCAGGGGAGCAGCUUUCUCAGGACACCUGAGGUCCUGCCCCACCAGGCUCUGGUCUUUACACACCAUCUCUCACUGUCCUCCAGCCCCAACUGCACAUUGCCUUCCUCCUUCCUGAGCUCAUGCUUGCCCCUCCCUCAGCAUCUCCCUAGCCCCAGCCUGAAGGCUGACCUCCUCCAGAAAGCCUCUCCCUCACCACGAGGCCAGAAAGAGUCUGUCCUGUCUCUAGCUUCUGAGUUUCUUAGUCCCAACGACUGUCCCUGCUCCACUGACACCUUCCAUACACAGCUUUGUGAGCUGUGCGCAUCUGUGGGUACCAGAGGGUAAGUUCGAGGGCAAGCUGACGCCUACUGUCUCUACUGUCUCACAGAUCUGCAUUGGGUUUCCUUGGUCCCAAUCCCCCACAGACACACAUACAUGUACACACUCACACACACAACGCUGGACCAAUAGAGAGAACUUUAUCAGUAAAAUGUAACUAUUUCAUUACA